rnacentral:rRNA from 1 species
UCGGUCCCUAUCCGCCGUGGGCGUAGGAAAUUUGAGAGGAGCUGUCCUUAGUACGAGAGGACCGGGAUGGACCAACCUCUGGUGCACCAGUUGUUCCGCCAGGAGCACAGCUGGGUAGCUAUGUUGGGAAGGGAUAAACGCUGAAAGCAUCUAAGCGUGAAGCCCACCUCAAGAUUAGAUUUCCCAUAGCGUAAGCUAGUAAGACCCCUGAAAGACUAUCAGGUUGAUAGGUUGGAGGUGUAAGUACAGUAAUGUAUUCAGCUGACCAAUACUAAUAGGUCGAGGGCUUGAUCAAAUA